rnacentral:rRNA from 1 species
CAGACGGCUCAGUAACACGUAGUCAACCUAACCUGUGGACGUGGAUAAUCUCGGGAAACUGAGGAUAAACCACGAUAGAUAACGGUGCCUGGAAUGGCCCAUUGUCCAAACAGUUUACUGCCACGGGAUGGGACUGCGGCCUAUCAGCUUGUUGGUGAGGUAAUGGCCCACCAAGGCUAUAACAGGUACGGGCUCUGAGAGGAGAAGCCCGGAGAUGGGUACUGAGACACGGACCCAGGCCCUAUGGGGCGCAGCAGGCGAGAAACCUUAGCAAUGUGCGAAAGCACGACUGGGUCAGUCCGAGUGAUUUCUGAUAAAGGAAUCUUUUGCCCGUCCUAAAAGCACGGGCGAAUAAGGGGUGGGCAAGUCUGGUGUCAGCCGCCGCGGUAAUACCAGCACCUCGAGUGGUCAGGACGAUUAUUGGGCCUAAAGCAUCCGUAGCUGGUUUUGCAAGUCUCCGGUUAAAUCCACCUGCUUAACAGAUGGGCCGCUGGAGAUACUACAAGACUAGGGAGUGGGAGAGGCAGACGGUAUUCGGGGGGUAGGGGGUAAAAUCCUCUGAUCCUUUGAGGACCACCAGUGGCGAAGGCGGUCUGCCAGAACACGUUCGACAGUGAGGGAUGAAAGCUGGGGGAGCAAACC